rnacentral:lncRNA from 1 species
AAAAUUGUGUUACUAUAGUAAACAUUGCAGUAAGCAUUUAUCGCCUUCUCUAACACAGAGCUUCGAUUUUAACUGGGUUUCCGCCUGGUAUGAUAUAUAUAAAGCUACAAUAAAAUUUGAUCAUUUAAGUAAUUCCGCUGACUACUAGCAGUGACACCUGGAAGUUAUAAAGUAAAGUUUGCAAAUACAAUUUUGUAACCUCACCUUUUUCUUCCAUAUUCUGUAUUUGAGGGUCGCUGUUGAUAUUUUGAAUUCACUGCACCCAGGCCACCAGAACUCAAGUUGAGUUAUUCUUUUUCUUUGGUGAUUCGUCUGUUUUAAUACAAAUUACACAGUUUUAAACAGUGUUUCAUAAAAAGUGAAAACAGUGCAUACAACAAGUAAUUGUAUAUAUUUUUUUCAUUAAAAAUGUAUUGAAAAAACAGGAUUUUCACACAUAUUUGACUUUGCCAAUAUGCAAUCAUACCACAUCUUCUAAUUUCAUAUUUUGACCAUAUCUAAGCAUAUAAAGCAGUUAUUGUCUAUUUUUACCGUUUAUAUGUUUUUAAAUGAAAAUUAUAGAAAAAAAAUCGUAAGACUGCAUCACAUUAUUUCUUAAUUAUAAAUGAGAGUUCAUUAAUAGGAAGCAUUUUCAAUAAGCUUUCCAAAAACGAAUCGACCCUAUAUGAGAUAGAAUGUCAUAACAACAC